UACAGAGGGUGCAAACGUUGCUCGGAAUUACUGGGCGUAAAGCGCGUGUAGGCGGUUUCGCGAGUCCGAUGUGAAAGCCCGGGGCCCAACCCCGGAAGUGCAUUGGAUACUACGAAGCUUGAGUGCUGGAGAGGAGAGCGGAAUUCCCGGUGUAGAGGUGAAAUUCGUAGAUAUCGGGAGGAACACCAGUGGCGAAGGCGGCUCUCUGGACAGACACUGACGCUGAUACGCGAAAGCGUGGGGAUCAAACAGG
rnacentral:rRNA from 1 species